GCCAGGUGUUCCCCAUCCUGUAUUUCUGAAUCUGAUUAUACCUGCCUAUGUGCUGAACCUACUGUCCCUACUGAAAUUCCUUUUGUUAAUUUUGCCAGUAGAACUGCAGCUACCCUGAGUUGCAGCCAGCAUGGACAGAGGUCAGGGACUGAUGGAAAUUGGAGCAACCUCUUCAAACACACAGAUCCUCCUCUCUGCAUGGAGAGAAUUUGCAUCACAGCUAAGACUGUCUGAGAGUUUUUCUUGCCAAGGAUGCAGUGGUGGUGCUUCCCAAGUCAGUGAUGAAGCACAUUGUGUGGUUGCUGUGAGGGGAACUUUGCUUUCCCGCCAUGCAAUUGCCGUAGCUGCUCCAAAGAGAGGCACAGACGUUAUUUUCCCACAGCUGUUAAUAAAUAAGAUGUUAACAAUAAAGCAUAAGAUGAAAUGAAGUCAGGAAGCUCUUUUCCAAAAAGACAAGUGAGCAAAUGGAGGCAGCUCCUUUUCCCUGCCGUUCCAUGAUUAAUAGAUUCUGUGAUUCAUCAUCAUAAUAGGCUGGUGAUCAAAAUUGCCCACCUCUGGCAGACACACCAUCUAAUAAACAUUCGCUGCAAAUUUCACUCUGAUAUCCGUUUCCUGCUGUGAUAAUAAAGAGUGACUUGCUUGGAAAACAGCAUCCUUUUACAUUCUGGAUGCCACAUAUAUCAGCCUCCCAUGGGGGCUCCUGCAGUCGUCAAUGUGGUGAAACAGCAAGGCUUGGAAGCGGAGAGAGCAGAACGGCUAGGAUUCCAGAACAAAGAACUGCCAGGCAGCAGGGGCACUGCACGACCCCACUUGGAAAUAGGAGGCAAGGACAAAGGAAAGAAGACCACUGGAAGGGGAGAAAUGUUUGCCGUCCACUUUGUUUAUCUUUAGCUCCCUGCCUCAGCUGUGGCAAUUGCCUACCCAAAGUACGUGCGCAUGGGCUGCUUAGAUUCCGGCUCUUGGAACAUUCGCUGCAUCAGAUGCUAAUCUCCAUUUUAGCGGUGUGAUCUUCUGCCAUUGCCUGGCUUCUCAUCAGGCUUUCCUUUUCUUAGUUAUUCCCUCAUGCAGUUGUAUGCACUUGGCUGAAGCACCUAUUUAAGCUCCUAAGAUCAUUGGCUUCAUAUGAGAAAGCAAUUUACGAUGUUCUUCGGCAAAAUAGGGAGCUCGCUGGACCCUGCAGAACAGAUGGCAGGGAGUGUUUCUCCAGGAUAGCCCUGAAUUCCUAAUAUUGCCUACGGGUCUCACUCUGUUAGGAUCUCAGUGAUUCUGCAGACCAAGAAUUGCAGGAUAAUGGCUUCUGAAAAGCAUGGCAGAGCACCUGCAGGAGGAGUAAUGAGUCCACACCUGCUUCUGCACCAAAGAACAUCCUGAGGCUAAACAUUACAGCAGGUGAAUAACAACGCUGGCAUAAAAAGUGCAAGAGCAAAAGACGACGGCGUAUUGGACAACAGCAAACUAACUUCAGACAAGUUAAUUUUUAAAUGUUCUGACAAACAGGGGUCAUGUAUGCAGAAUCAAGUUCUUGUUAUGGUUUUCUUUUCUUCUUUUCUCUUUUCUUUUCUUUUCUGUAUGGCUAGCUCUUGGUUGCGGUGGCAUUUUCUGCUAAGGUGUCUUGCGCGUUGAUGCCGUGUUCCUUUGAAGGAUGCCUCCUCUAUAUUGUAACUAUAAUAUGCAGUGCUUUUUUUCUAAGAAAACGUUUAGGGUUAUUCUCAUUUUGACUCAGGAAAAUCACCAUUUUAUAGUUCAAAUUUGGAAAAAUAAAUACAGUAAAUGGACAAAAAUACAAAGAUUCACAAAAUGUUUAGAGGUAUGCGUACCCCUGUGUACCCACCCAGGAAAAAAGCAGUGAUAAUAUGUCUUUGGUGCAGCAAACACUCUUUUGUUGUUAUGCAGGUGUAAACUGAGGAUGGAAUAAAUGCACUGAUUUGGUUCACAGUUUCUGGGAAGGGCUCAGACCAGGAAGCAAAACGUUCGACUUAAGCACCUCUUAAAUUACACCCAGCAGCACUGCAGCCACACACUGACCCUCUUUCUCCUUCGAGCACAGACACACCCCUUGUGUUUCUCUCAGCCUGUUUGUGAAUAAUAAAGACACAUAACAAUCACUGUGAAAGUGAACCCAGUUCUCUUCUCCUGUAGUGGAGAUCAAUUUCACUGAAUUAUAUAAGAGUGAAUAGGGAGCUUCACGGCGAUCAGGUUUUAGGGUGGCAUCAAAUAACACUGGGAACUGAUCCACUGAAAACCUUUGGUCCCCUGCCUGCUUGCAAAUCCUUAUUACUCCUGAGGUGAGUGCUGGUAGCCAAACUAAGGCCAUGCUUCAUUUCACGUAUACUUUUCUUGUGUGUUUUUCCCUGUCUUUGCUGGAGUUGCUGUUAAAGUGAACUGAUCUUUUUCUUUCAAGGAGAUCAGUGCUCUUGCACUUUUAAUAGCUGUGGAGACAACAGGAAUUCAUCAAGAGAAGCUUUUUGAAUCCCUUCCUGAUGAAUUGUCCCUGCUCACAAUGCCAUCUUCUAUUAACAAAAUAUGAAACAUGCCCUGCCCCCUUUAAUCUGGUCAAUCUAGUACUAGGGAUGGUCAGUAGGGAGACUGGGGGCUGCAAUGGUGGCUGGUGCUCAUUAGGACUGGUAGGGUGGAAGGCUGGGAGGUCAACAGUAGGGGGAGCCAGAGCAAAUGGCUGGGGAAGCUAGAGUCAAUGACAGGUGGAGCUAACUCAUUCUGCUUUCGUCCCCACCCUCGAGUGCUACCAAGGCAGCACUGAAACUAAGAGGUAUCUCAAACAAGAAUGACUCAAGGACCAUUGAGACAUGGAACUUUACAAAAAAGCAAAUACUUACCUGGUAAGGAAACACAAGGUUGUUGUUGUUUUUUAAAAAAAGCUUGGUGUCUUUGUAAAACAUCUGCAGGGGGUUGAAGGUCCAUGUUUGUUUUCCCAGCAAGUAAGAGUCUCCUUUGGAGUGAUCAGAGUUAAUGCAGUCUCUGGAAUAAUAUGUAUUCCUGAUGGUAAGUCUUCACCACUUGGCCAUGAAGCACUCUGCCCUUAUUAUCAGCUCCCUAUGCAAAAGCAGCUUCAGGACUGCUCCAUUGGGACAGUUCCCCCUGCUGCCCCUUGCCAAUCUUCUUUCUCCCAUG